rnacentral:rRNA from 1 species
ACGCUCGACACCUACGGGGGCAGCAGUGGGGAAUAUUGCACAAUGGGGGAAACCCUGAUGCAGCGACGCCGCGUGAAGGAAGAAGUAUCUCGGUAUGUAAACUUCUAUCAGCAGGGAAGAAAAUGACGGUACCUGACUAAGAAGCCCCGGCUAACUACGUGCUAGCAGCCGCGGUAAUCUGAGGCGGGCGUGGACGAAGGC